CUCAGAUUACAACUCACCUGCCACUGUCCCUCUGCCAGCAAGAAAGACACUGGAAAUGUCCUCAGCUAUAGAUUAAGUCCCAAAACCAAGGAUGGAGAUUCAACAACUUUUACUCACUCAGGAGUCUUAAAUGUCUCAGAUUCUCCAUUUUUCAGUAUGUACACAUGGAGAAAUGUUUUGUUAUCCUGCUUCAAGACACCACAGAGUAAACAUACCUCAAAACUCACAGAGGGAAGAAAAUGCAAAAUGAUGUCAGGAGAGAAGCAGAUCCAGGCGGAAUAUCACCAUGAGGCAGCAGAUCCUUGAUUCGAACAUCCGCUUAACGAUAAUAUAGAUACCACGGUCACUGCAACCUCUGCCUCGUGGGUUCAAACGAUCCUCAUGCCUCGGCCUCCCAAGUAGCUAGGACUACAGUCACAUGCCACCACGUACAGCUAAUUUUUUUUUUUUUUUUUUUUUUGGUAGAGAUAGGGUUUCACUGUGUUGGCCCUGCUGGUUUCAAACUCCUGGCCUCAAGUGAUCCACCCACCUUGACCCCUUCAAAGUGCUGGGUUUACAGGCAUGAGCCACUGCACCUGGCCUCAGUGAACACUUAUCCCCACACUUCUGUACCCUUGACAGGGGUGUUUUGAGGGUACUGGUAAUAACUGAAAAAUUAAAUAUAAAUGAAAUUGGAAGAUGUGUUUCAUAAACAUUUUGGGCAGACUUGCAUGGCUAUGUUCUUUGCACCCCUCUAUGAAUACGGCAUGAAGGAGCUCAGCUGCUACAACAGAGGACUUCCACCUUCUGCGUUCGGUUUUCUCUGAAAUCUUCUGGCAAACGAAUGGCACUACUGAUAAAAAUUCAACAGCUGCAUAAUUAUACCCAUGAGUUUCUUCUGCGGGAAGCAGCAUUUGACAGCAAACGUGAUUUGACCACGUGACUAAAGCUACACCACUGUUUAGGUUAGAAUUAAAAAAUAUAAGGAGACAUAUGGGGACAACUCUGUAUAUAAAUAUCAGUAGUGGAAAGAGAAAAUUGCAUGUUGUAUUAUAAUUUCAUGGACUUUUUGCUUUUCUUAUUUCCACAGAUUUGAUUAUUAAUAAUAAAUUACACAUCUAAAGGAAUUUAUAGCUCCCC
rnacentral:lncRNA from 13 species